rnacentral:misc_RNA from 1 species
AACGGAUCGCGAGUAACCGGCCUCGGCCGAUGAAAGCAUCUCGUAAGUCGCUUCGCUUCGUACAUUCUUCCUUCACUCUCGAUUGUCGACCCUCUCCCUUGCGGGAGCACGGGUCGAUCGCUGUUUGACAACGGAUGUUAUUGGUAGAUCGUGGGAUUUUUUGAAUCCUUUAAGAGAUGACUUUUUCGCAAGAAAACGUCACUCGUUUAAACAAUGCGCGUAGUUCUGCUUGACGAAUUUUGUAGUCAAGCGAUAGAAGGCAUGUGGGGGAUGCCUGGGCACACGGAGGCGAUGAAGGCCGUGGUAAGCUGCGAGAAGCUCGGAGGAGUGGCACACACGCGGUGAUCCCGAGAUGG